CAGUAGCCGCGGGAAUACGAAGGGUGCAAGCGUUAAUCGGAAUUACUGGGCGUAAAGCGUGCGUAGGCGGUGAGUUAAGUCUGUUGUGAAAUCCCCGGGCUCAACCUUGGAAUGGCAAUGGAUACUGGCAAGCUAGAGUGUGUCAGAGGAUGGUGGAAUUCCCGGUGUAGCGGUGAAAUGCGUAGAGAUCGGGAGGAACAUCAGUGGCGAAGGCGGCCAUCUGGGACAACACUGACGCUGAGGCACGAAAGCGUGGGGAGCAAACAGGAUUAGAUACCCCCGUAGUCCCUGUCUCUUAUAC
rnacentral:rRNA from 1 species